GGUCAAGAGUCAAGACCCACACUAAGUAGCACAGGGAAUGAAGACCCUACUUUUGGAGGAUGUGCUUCUGACAGGUAGGUCUUGAUCUCUGAUGGCAAAUCAGUGAUGCGAGAAGAAGUCAUGAACAAAGAAGUGGACUGCUGUGCAAGGCACUGGUUUAUCAUUGAUCUCAGUCUGGAAAGAGCCCAAAUUCUACUUAGAGCUACUUCAUAAUCAGCCUCUGUGGCAUUUACUUAGAUUGCCUCAGAAAAAGAAAACUGCUGACAACACAAAAAGAAAUUUACACAAUCAUCAUCAAUCAUUGCAAAGAACUGUUGAUUUUCCUAUGUAACUCCUUGGCCAAUAUGGGAACUUAAAGAUCACAGUUGAUCCUAAACACUGCUUCCCGGAAAGAAACUCUAAAAUGGACAAGCAGGGUAAUGAUUUGUUUGUUUUUAGUUUGUUUUUAAUACCUUCAAAUGGUAGGAGAGCAUCCAAACUGUGUAAAACUUGGCCAAACUCAGAUGUGAAGUGGAUUCUUCCUCUAAUCUUUGAGAGUGCUAAUGUUUUGAGAGAGGGGUCAUAACGAUUACAGAAAUACACUGAAGCUUAACUGAGUCAAGCUACAUAGGGAUAGUAAUUCAACAGUAAAUCAAAAUUAAGUGGUUGGAUGGCCCUCUUCCUUAAAAUCUUCAAUUAAACCUGCUGGUCAAAAAGCAAAAGGAGUCCAAGUCACAAUGCUAUGAUGUUUUAUAAAAAUAUUUUAGAAUAUCAACUUUGACAUAAACUAUGUUUCUGAAACUCUUUGCAGAUCAAAGUAAUAAUUGAUUGUUCUUAGUUUGAACCCUAUAAAAGCACAUUGAGUAAUUUCAUCAAGGGCAAUAAAAAAAGGUCAAAAUGAAACAUUUUUCUCAGGACAAAAUUAUCAAUCACAAUUAACUCCUGUUGCUAUUUUGCUGAUAACAACAUGAUGAAGUGUUUUAUUUUCCAAACAGUAGGGGACUCCGUGCUUCCCUGAAUCUCACUUCUGCCUGCGCUGGUGUGGUUACAUGGCGACAGGAAGCCCUAUAAAGGCUUGAACGUCUAUCUCUGUGAUUUUCAUCUAAUAGGCCCGUCUAUGACGUUACUUUUGAACGCUUCUUAACUGAAUAUUUGAUCAUUGUCCUAAAAAAUUUACUCUUGAACUUUUGAAAAAGCACAUUAAUUUCUUCUUCUAAAAAUCAUACAUGUGAUUUGCUUAUAGAACAAGGGGAAAUUUUUUUACUAAUAGGA